UACGAAGGGGGCUAGCGUUGUUCGGAUUUACUGGGCGUAAAGCGCACGUAGGCGGAUUGUUAAGUCAGGGGUGAAAUCCUGGAGCUCAACUCCAGAACUGCCUUUGAUACUGGCAAUCUUGAGUCCGGAAGAGGUGAGUGGAACUCCUAGUGUAGAGGUGGAAUUCGUAGAUAUUAGGAAGAACACCAGUGGCGAAGGCGGCUCACUGGUCCGGUACUGACGCU
rnacentral:rRNA from 1 species